AUACGGAGGGUGCGAGCGUUAAUCGGAAUUACUGGGCGUAAAGCGCGCGUAGGCGGCCAGGUCAGUCGGAUGUGAAAGCCCCGGGCUCAACCUGGGAAUUGCACUCGAUACUGCAGAGCUAGAGUAUGGUAGAGGGAAGUGGAAUUUCCGGUGUAGCGGUGAAAUGCGUAGAUAUAGGAAGGAACACCAGUGGCGAAGGCGACUUCCUGGGCCAAUACUGACGCUGAGGUGCGAAAGCGUGGGGAGCAAACAGGAUUAGAAACCCGAGUAGUCC
rnacentral:rRNA from 1 species